UUAUAAAAUCUGAAAUGACUUGGAUGAAGACAUCGAAAGUUUCAUUGUUAAACUUGCUGACAACACAAGAAAUGUAGAAUGGAAAGUUUGAAGAGGACAAAGGGAUAUGGACAGUAAGUACAAGAAACACGACUGAAUCAAUGAAAGACUGCACCCAACAAGAUGGACAGCCACUGUACAAAAGAAAACAAACUGUGCAAAAACAACAAGAAUAAAUAAAUAUUCAGAACAUGAGAUGAACAUAGAUUGAAAGUGACUUGAUAGGUUGUGGGAACAGUUGAGUGAAGUUACUCCCUCUGGUUCAAGAGCCUGAUGGUUGAGGGGUAGGAACUGUUCCUGAACCUGGUGCUAUGGUUUCUGAGGCUCCUGUAUUUUCUUCCUGGUUGUAGUAGUGACAUGAGAGGAUGCCCUGGGUGGUGGGGUAACUGAUAAUGGACAUUGCUUUCCUGUGAUGUGCUCAGUAAGGUGGGGAAGAGGUUACCUGUGAUGGACUGGGCUAUGCACAUGACUUUUUAUAGGUUUCUCCAUUGAAGGGCAUUGGUAUUUCCAUAUCAAGCUGUGAUGCAACCAGUCAAUAUCCUCUCCCCCACACGCCUAUAGAAGUUUUGUCAAAUUUUUAAAUGUCAUGCCAUAUUUUCACAAACUUCUAAGGAAGUAGAAGCACUACUGUGCUUUCUUUGUAAUUGCACUUGCAUGCUGGGCUCAGGACAGAUCCUCCGAAAUGAUAACCCCAAGGAAUUACCUCUGCCUGAAGUCAGUAAUCAGCUCCAUUGUCUUGCUGACAUUGAACAAGAGGUUGUUAUUGUGGCCCUGCUUCUAUCUGAGGGGGCUGAAUGAACAGGGCAGAUUUUGAGAAGUUUGGAUUUCAGUUUGAGAGGUCAGUAACGUAGGAGUCAGAAACAGGAAGUUGCUGGAGGUGGGUCACAAGGAAGUCUGUAUUCCAGAGUUUUAAUUCUGAACUCUUAAGCAUUCAGUUAACAGGCCAAAUACAGUUCUCUUUAGCAGCUGGCUUACAGAGCUUGUUCGCAAUCAAUUAAGACUGUUUGCAAUUCCCUUAAAUGCUUUAGCUUAAAUACUUUUCUCUCUAAUGUUAGAUCAUUUUUGACCUGACUCAUCCUGAUUCCUCAGACUCUCAGGAGAUUCCAUUGUGCAGGGAUAGAGUCAUACAGCACAGAAGCAGGCUCUUCAGCCCAUCAUAUCAAUGCCAUCCAUCAAGUACCCAUUGACACCAAACUAUAGCCUUCUACACCUUGGUGAUUCAAGUGCUCAUCUAAAUAAUUAAAUACUAGGGGAGUUUCUGCCUCCACUACCCCCUCAGGUUGUAUGUUUCAGAUUUCAUCUACAUUCUAGAUGAAAAAAAAUCUUUUUUAUAUCCCUCCAAGUCUUACUCCUCACUUUAACCUGUUUAUAGAUAGCUCUGCUGUGGAAUAUCUAUCUAUCCUAUCUAUGCCCCACAAAAAAAAAAUUCCAAGAAGAUUUGCCUUGCAAAAACCUCAGAAAUAUUUGGGAUUGGUUUCUAGGUAUGGAGAGUUGUCCCAGAUUCUAUGUGCAACCACCCCACAUGUUUAUCAUCACAGAAGACUGAAGGGUUCACAAGAUGCUGGAGAAACUCAUCAGGUCAAGUGGUAUCUGUGGAGGGAAAUGGACAGUCAGUCCUUUGAGUAGAGACCCCUCAUCUAGUCUGCUCAAAGAAUCUCAACCUGAAAUGUCAGAUAUCCAUUUCCUUCCAUGGAUUCUGGCAUCCGUGUUCUCCUGUGCCUCCAUGCUCACAACUAUGUUCACCCAGAACUACUGAUGGGGUGAACUAUCUCAGCUCCCUCCAGAGAUCAUCAUCAUCAUGGAAACCAGCUUUCAGCCUAUUUGGUCCACUCCAUGUGAUGUCAAGAAACGUCUGAGAGCACGAGAUACAGGAAAGCCCAGAGGACCAACAUCCCAACUGUAGUACUGAAGACCUGCGCUCCAAAACUAGAUAUGCGACUAUCCAAAAUGUUUUUGUACAGUUACACCCCACAAUGUGGAAACUUGCGCAGGGACGACCUGCAUUCUGCUCCCUGCUCUCAGUCAUCAGCACAAUGAUUGUAGCUGCUACUGACAGUACUAGCAAAUGCUCACCAAACUUCAGAUCACUAGACGAACACCUUAAACACUUGGCCAUGCGCCAACACGAAGUACAUGACAGUACUAGCAAAUGCUCACCAAACUUCAGAUCACUCAGCUCCAGAUCUUGGUCCAAGCAUAUGACAAAUGACAAGUGGGAAUGUGUCAGCUUACCAGAGCGCCCGGUAGAGUGGUGCUGGCAGAAACAACCUCUUGUUCAAUGUCAGCGGAUCUAAAGAACUUAUUACAGACUUCAGGAAGGAGACUGAAAGUGAACAUGUGCUGGUCUCCUUUGGGAUAUUGGCGGUGGUGAGAGUGAGCAACUUCAAUAUCAGAUUACCUGUCCUGGGCCCAGUACAUAGGUACAAUCACCACCAUUUUUAUAUCCUAGGAAAGUUGAGAAAGUUUGGCAUGUCACUAAAUAUUCUUAGAAACUUCUGCAGAAACUUUUGAAUGUAUCCUGACUGGUUGCAUUAUGGUCUGGUAUACAAUUUGAGUGCACAGGAAUGAAAGAAACUGCCGAGUAGUGGGCUCGGCUCAAUAUAUCACAGUCACAUCUCUCCCCACCAUUGGUAGUAUGUAAAGAUGGCACUGCCUCAAAAAGGCAAUAUCCAUCAUCAAAGAUACCCACCACCAUCAGGCAGUCCCACACCACCAGGUUCAAACCCUGUUGUUCCCUUCAACUAUUCAGUUCUAAACCAACCAGCAAAACCCUAAUCACUCAAGUUUAGCAACACUGUUACCACUUUGAUCAUUUUGCACUAAAUGGACCUUUUUUUUGUUCUAAUUAUGUUUUCUUUUUAAAAAUUAUGUAUGCUUUAUGCUUAAUUUGUGUUUUACUUUGAAUGUCUUGUCUCUGAUUCUAUGUACCUGUG